CAUAUAUGCUGCAUCCAAAGUUAGCGACAGAAGAAGAGUUAGACAUCGGGAGAAAUUAGUUUGUAAUCACGAAAAGCGAAACUUUUUAUUUUAUUUAAAGAACCAGCCGAGUGAAAAAAGACAGACAAACACAUUGACAGAACAGAGAGAACAGCCAUAACCACUGAUAGAAACAACAGAAAACAGAAAACAGACAGAGGAGCAACACACGGGACAGAGAGAGCAGGAGACGGGUCAGCGAGAGCAACAGACAGGACAGACUGACAAACAGGCAGACUGGGAGCAACAGACAGGACAAGUAGAGGCACAUGCAGAGGAGCAACAGACAGUACAAAUAGAAGCGCAUGCAGAGGAGAUGGAAGAAGACACAGAGAGACAAACAGAAGAGACUCACUCCCCCCAAUCCUACAGCAGGGCCAAAAGAGUCGUGCUCUGGCUGGAGCAGCAACAUAUAGAUCCAUUUUCAAAAAUGAGUGGACCUUUUCAUGGCCAUUUAUUACCAGAAGGACCCUCAUCACGCACUACUGGUGUGCAGUGUGCCGUUUUGAAAACUCCUGUUGCCACCAGGCUGUGACAGAUGUAGUGCGGCACAUAAAAACCAAAGGCCACCAAGAAAAGAAACGGGCUCUCCAGUCCUCACUCAGCGACAAUAUCACAAUAUGCAAUGCCCAUUCCCUCUGUUGGGGGCAUGUCUGCACAAGAUGCUAAGGUAUCCCAUUUUGAUUUGGAGGACAUGAUGGUGGACAUCGGUUACUGGUUCAAGGGUAGCACAAAUCGGAAAGGAUACCCGACAGGAUCCUCAGACUUUAUGAACCUCUGGCCAGCUACUUCAAAUCUGCUGAUGAAAAUCCGGCCAGGUUCAAGAGGCUUGUGCAGACGUUCACUGACCCCAUGACAGAAGUGUACCUGCUGUUCUUUCAAGCCACCGUACCAACUUUCACUACUUUCAACUUGCUUCGGUCAUCAAUAUUUAUGUUAUAUGAUGAGAUGGUGAAAUUUGUACGCAAGCUUUGUUCAAAGUUCAUUGUUCCAGCAGCUCUGCAGGGUCUUGAGCAGCCUGGUGACAUUGCCUUUGAAGAGAAGGCAAACCAUUUACCAGGAAGAAAGUUGCACAUUGGGUUCACACAACCAGGGCUAAACUCAACAGACUACUUGACGAGGGUGACAUCACACCACAGCAGGGGGAUUCAUUCCAUGAAGCUGUGUUAUGUUUCCGGACAAGUGCUGUGGACUAUGCACUAAAGAAGCUGCCACUGAAAGAGCCACGGCUCAAACAUUCAACAUUUGUAGAUGUACGGCAGAGGGCUGAAAGAGAUGUCCUGUACUUUGUUGAAAGGUUUCCCCAUCUCCUCCCAUACCAUGGUCCAGAGGAGCAUGACCUUCUGGUGAGGGGUUUCUAAGUUAUCAGACCAUGCCAAUGAUAUCCCUGUAGGACGAAACUGAAAUGGAAAGCUUCUGGGCUGAAAUGGCAACCCGGAAACAUAAGCCUAGCAUUGGAGGGCACCCUGUCCUCAAUAAUGACCAUAAAGAUGGCCGACCUGGAGCCCUGUUUCAAAUGGGAGCCCCCCUCGGAUGUCAUCAAGGCCUCCAAGAAGGCCACAGCCACAGGCCAGUAUAACCGUGCCCACAGAUCAUAGACAAGGACUAGCUUCUGAUCUGCAUCCGAUACUGAUGACCUCAUUUUUUGUUAUUUUUGUAAUGCGUUCAUCUGUUUUAUUGCUUUAUUGCUGUUUAAGCACUUCAAGCACUUCAUAUGUUGCACUUUAUUUGUUUCUAAUGGACCAUGUGGUGGGAGGCUUUGAAUGAAGAAUCAUUUAUCUCCCUAACUAAUCUUGUCGUUUUUGGCUGAACAUAAAUCAUUAAGUGCUCUUAAGAAUACAAUUAUUCACAAUAUAGGUUAGGUUUCAGUUCAGAAUUUGUUUAAUACCAUUGUUGUGAUCAAAAUAUCAUUGAACCUACCUAGGUCAAAUCUUAAACACUGGUCUAUGAAAACGGCUAUAUUGUGGCACAUAGGCAGUCAUUUAGGCACAACAAUAGUUUUCUGGUUUGUUGUUCAACUCCAGACUAGGCCCCUACAAGUCCUAAAGCCAAACAUGAAUCAGAAUAUGUUCAGGUAUUGCACAUCUUUAGCAGACCACCCAAAAAUCCACUAAAAUGCAGGAAAUCACAUCUACUUUAUCCAAAAUGUCCUGGUGGUUGACCUUCACAGCUUCACAGAAUGUAACCAAUUUUGUCCAUCUCCAGUGAGCUGCCCCUAUGAACGGCUUUGGGCCUCCCCACAAACCACCAAAAUGCUGGGUACAACAUGGGUUCAACAUCCAAUUAAUUAAAAUUCUCUAAAAUCUGAGCCACCAACUUGUGUGGCUGCGUUGUCGGGGGUAAUUUUGGUUACCCCUGACAAAAUCGUACUCCAGGUUUUUUUGAAAAGUUGGCAGCGCUGAAGACUGCUAGUGCUAAGGCGAGUAAGUUGCCUUAGCAGUAGAUAUGAGAACACUAGUGGCCCUGGUGAAGAGCGGAUUUAAUGAUUAUAACCGUUUAAAUGAUUGUAUUAUUCAUCGAAGGGUCAGAUGGUUCUGCCUGCCAUACAUCCAGAGACUCCAGUGCUUGGUUCAAAGGCUGAUAAGCUGGAGCCACAGCCCUCAGCUCGCUGUGAAGUUCACGUUGAGGUGAACGGUGUCUGACAGCCUUUCUGUCAUACACAGGCAAAGGUCUGAGGUUGUAUGAGCACUCUCCCUCAUCACAGGAGGUGCUGGAAUCUGACUUGGUGGCUUCUCUGGGCUGAACUUCUCUCUUUGUGGCUUCUUCUCCACACCAGAAUCACGUUGCUCAUGGCUGACUGUCAAGUCACUGACGAGAAGGCAAGAGGAGGUUGCGGUAGAGAACCCGGAGGGUUCGGUCGGCUUUUUCUGCUUGGACACGAUAAACUGGACCGUCUCCUAGUGACACAGUGGAUCUUCCCUUCCCAUUAAGAGUUUAUCGUCAAAAAAUUAUUUAUUUCAUAAAAUGUUUGCACAACCUCCCAACCGAAGUCCUCUUCAGGGCAAGGAAAAACUCCCCAAAGCGGGAAGAAACCUUGAGAAGGAACGCAGAAG
ensembl:lncRNA